rnacentral:rRNA from 1 species
CCUGGCCUUGACAUACUAAGAACUUUCAGAGAUGGAUUGGUGCCUUCGGGAACUUAGAUACAGGUGCUGCAUGGCUGUCGUCAGCUCGUGUCGUGAGAUGUUGGGUUAAGUCCGCAACGAGCGCAACCCUUUUCCUUAUUUGCCAGCGGGUAAUGCCGGGAACUUUUAAGGAUACUGCCAGUGACAAACUGGAGGAAGGCGGGGACGACGUCAAGUCAUCAUGGCCCUUACGGCCAGGGCUACACACGUGCUACAAUGGUCGGUACAAAGGGUUGCUACCUCGCGAGAGGAUGCUAAUCUCAAAAAGCCGAUCGUAGUCCGGAUCGCAGUCUGCAACUCGACUGCGUGAAGUCGGAAUCGCUAGUAAUCGCGGAUCAGAAUGCCGCGGUGAAUACGUUCCCGGGCCUUGUACACACCGCCCGUCACACCAUGGGAGUUUGUUGCACCAGAAGUAGGUAGUCUAACCGCAAGGAGGACGCUUACCACGGUGUGGCCGAUGACUGGGGUGAAGUCGUAACAAGGUAGGCGUAGAUGA